GACGAACGCUGGCGGCGUGCUUAACACAUGCAAGUCGAACGGAAAGGCCCUGCUUUUGUGGGGUGCUCGAGUGGCGAACGGGUGAGUAACACGUGAGUAACCUGCCCUUGACUUUGGGAUAACUUCAGGAAACUGGGGCUAAUACCGGAUAGGAGCUCCUGCUGCAUGGUGGGGGUUGGAAAGUUUCGGCGGUUGGGGAUGGACUCGCGGCUUAUCAGCUUGUUGGUGGGGUAGUGGCUUACCAAGGCUUUGACGGGUAGCCGGCCUGAGAGGGUGACCGGCCACAUUGGGACUUAGAUACGGCCCAGACUCCUACGGGAGGGAGCAGUGGGGAAUAUUGCCCCAUGGGCCGAAGCCUGAUGCAGCAACGCCGCGUGCGGGAUGACGGCCUUCGGGUUGUAAACCGCUUUCGCCUGUGACGAAGCGUGAGUGACGGUAAUGGGUAAAGAAGCACCGGCUAACUACGUG
rnacentral:rRNA from 1 species